UUGGAACUCACUUAGUGGCUGGCGCUC
rnacentral:piRNA from 1 species